CGGCGGACGGGUGAGUAACACGUGGGUAACCUACCUAUAAGACUGGGAUAACUUCGGGAAACCGGAGCUAAUACCGGAUAAUAUUUCGAACCGCAUGGUUCGAUAGUGAAAGANGGUUUUGCUAUCACUUAUAGAUGGACCUGCGCCGUAUUAGCUAGUUGGUAAGGUAACGGCUUACCAAGGCGACGAUACGUAGCCGACCUGAGAGGGUGAUCGGCCACACUGGAACUGAGACACGGUCCAGACUCCUACGGGAGGCAGCAGCU
rnacentral:rRNA from 1 species